CACGUAGGCACCAAGCGUUGUCCGGAUUUAUUGGGCGUAAAGAGCUCGUAGGCGGUUCAGUAAGUCAGGUGUGAAAUCUUUGGGCUUAACCCAAAGCGUGCACUUGAUACUGCUGUGACUUGAGUUCGGUAGGGGAGUGGGGAAUUCCUAGUGUAGCGGUGAAAUGCGCAGAUAUUAGGAGGAACACCGGUGGCGAAGGCGCCAGUCUGGGCCGAAACUGACGCUGAGGAGCGAAAGCGUGGGUAGCAAACAGG
rnacentral:rRNA from 1 species